GAAGGAGUGUGGUUAAUGGAAAAACACGGGCCCAGUAGUCAAAGGUCCUGGGUUCUAAUCCCAGCUCCUUCA
rnacentral:tRNA from 1 species